AACUGGCUUAGAAUAGACCUUUUGAUUCUUACAGUUCACAUUAUAAGUCUAACAAUUACACUGAUGUCUGAAGUCACCAGUAUUACCAGCACUUCUUUCUGCUGACUGUCUGUAUCUGGGAGAAUCAACCUUCUAACAGUUUCAAGGAUCAAUAUUUUCACCACAGAAGACUUUCUGACUCAAAGCUAUUUUCUCCUAAUCCACCAUAGGGAAAACCUCUGAAAC
rnacentral:lncRNA from 1 species